GGUCACGAUUGUCAGCGCCCCCGUGCGGGAUCCGUCCUGCUCACGGGGUCCAUCGGCCCCGGCCCGCUGGCAGGCAACCCUUCCACCGCGACGGGGUGCCCCGGGUGACGACCGGGUCCCGCCGGUGCGGCGGGGCAAGCGUGGUCC
rnacentral:ncRNA from 2 species